CCUACGGGUGGCAGCAGUGAGGAAUAUUGGACAAUGGGCGAGAGCCUGAACCAGCCAAGUCGCGUGAAGGAUGAAGGAUCUAUGGAUUGUAAACUUCUUUUAUAUGGGAGUAAAGUGAGGAACGUGUUCCUGUUUGUAUGUCCCAUAUGAAUACACAUGGGCUAACUCCGUGCCAGCAGCCGCGGUAAUACGGAGGAUGCGAGCGUUAUCCGGAUUUAUUGGGUUUAAAGGGUGCGUAGGUGGUUAAUUAAGUCAGCGGUGAAAGUUUGUGGCUCAACCAUAAAAUUGCCGUUGAAACUGGUUGGCUUGAGUAUAUGUGAGGUAGGCGGAAUGCGUGGUGUAGCGGUGAAAUGCAUAGAUAUCACGCAGAACUCCGAUUGCGAAGGCAGCUUACUAAACUAUAACUGACACUGAGGCACGAAAGCGUGGGGAUCAAACAGGAUUAGAUACCCGAGUAGUC
rnacentral:rRNA from 1 species